AUACGGAGGGUGCGAGCGUUGUUCGGAAUUAUUGGGCGUAAAGCGCGUGCAGGCGGUCUUUUAAGUCUGAUGUGAAAGCCCCGGGCUCAACCUGGGAAGUGCAUUGGAUACUGGCAGACUUGAAUACGGGAGAGGGCAGUGGAAUUCCUGGUGUAGGAGUGAAAUCCGUAGAUAUCAGGAGGAACACCGGUGGCGAAGGCGGCUGCCUGGAACAAAGACUGACGCGUCGGGUGACGAAAGCGUGGGGAGC
rnacentral:rRNA from 1 species